rnacentral:rRNA from 1 species
UGAACGCUGGCGGCGUGCUUAACACAUGCAAGUCGUACGAGAAAUCUAUAGCUUGCUAUAGAGAGUAAAGUGGCGAACGGGUGAGUAACGCGUGGGAAUCUGUCUCUGAAUUUGGGAUAACAUAGCGAAAGAGAUGUUAAUACCGGAUAAUAUCCUUGUUCUCAAGGAUCAAAGGUGGCCAAUACAUGUAAGCUACUGUUUGGAGAAGAGCCCGCGUACCAUUAGCUUGUUGGUAGGGUAAUGGCCUACCAAGGCUAUGAUGGUUAGCUGGUCUGAGAGGAUGAUCAGCCACAUUGGAACUGACACACGGUCCAGACUCCUACGGGAGGCAGCAGUGAGGAAUUUUGCGCAAUGGGGGAAACCCCGACGCAGCAACGCCGCGUGAGUGAGGAAGGCUUUCGGGUCGUAAAGCUCUGUCGAGCGGGAAGAAACUAUUAGCAUAAUAAAAUGUGCUUGUAUUGACGGUACCGCUAAAGGAAGCACCGGCUAACUCC